rnacentral:rRNA from 1 species
CCUACGGGAGGCAGCAGUGGGGAAUAUUGCACAAUGGGCGCAAGCCUGAUGCAGCGACGCCGCGUGAGGGAUGGAGGCCUUCGGGUUGUAAACCUCUUUCGCCAGUGAAGCAGGCCAUCUUCUUUGUGGGGUGGUUGACGGUAGCUGGAUAAGAAGCGCCGGCUAACUACGUGCCAGCAGCCGCGGUAAUACGUAGGGCGCGAGCGUUGUCCGGAAUUAUUGGGCGUAAAGAGCUCGUAGGCGGCUGGUCGCGUCUGUCGUGAAAUCCCCUGGCUUAACUGGGGGCUUGCGGUGGGUACGGGCCGGCUUGAGUGCGGUAGGGGAGACUGGAAUUCCUGGUGUAGCGGUGGAAUGCGCAGAUAUCAGGAGGAACACCGGUGGCGAAGGCGGGUCUCUGGGCCGUUACUGACGCUGAGGAGCGAAAGCGUGGGGAGCGAACAGGAUUAGAUACCCUGGUAGUCCACGCCGUAAACGUUGGGCACUAGGUGUGGGGGCUCUUUCCGGGGUUUCCGCGCCGUAGCUAACGCAUUAAGUGCCCCGCCUGGGGAGUACGGCCGCAAGGCUAAAACUCAAAGGAAUUGACGGGGGCCCGCACAAGCGGCGGAGCAUGCGGAUUAAUUCGAUGCAACGCGAAGAACCUUACCAAGGCUUGACAUGUGAGCGUCUGCCUCAGAGAUGGGGUUUCCUCCUUGUGGGGCGCUUUCACAGGUGGUGCAUGGUUGUCGUCAGCUCGUGUCGUGAGAUGUUGGGUUAAGUCCCGCAACGAGCGCAACCCUUGUCCCGUGUUGCCAGCACGUUGUGGUGGGGACUCGCGGGAGACUGCCGGGGUCAACUCGGAGGAAGGUGGGGAUGACGUCAAAUCAUCAUGCCCCUUAUGUCUUGGGCUUCACGCAUGCUACAAUGGCCGGUACAGAGGGUUGCGAUGUCGUGAGGCGGAGCGAAUCCCUUAAAGCCGGUCUCAGUUCGGAUCGGUGUCUGCAACUCGACACCGUGAAGUUGGAGUCGCUAGUAAUCGCAGAUCAGCAACGCUGCGGUGAAUACGUUCUCGGGCCUUGUACACACCGCCCGUCACGUCAUGAAAGUCGGCAACACCCGAAGCCCGUGGCCUUACGGGGAGCGGUCGAAGGUGGGGCUGGUGAUUGGGACGAAGUCGUAACAAGGUAGCCGUACCGGAAGGUGCGGCUGGAUCACCUCCUUU